UUCCGGUUGAUCCUGCCGGACCCGACUGCUAUCAGAGUGGGACUAAGCCAUGCGAGUCAACAUAGCAAUAUGUGGCAUACGGCUCAGUAACACGUAGUCAACAUGCCCAGGGGACGUGGAUAACCUCGGGAAACUGAGGAUAAACCGCGAUAGGUCAUCACUUCUGGAAUGGGUAAUGACUUAAAUCUAUAUGGCCCCUGGAUUGGACUGCGGCCGAUCAGGCUGUUGGUGAGGUAAUGGCCCACCAAACCUGUAACCGGUACGGGCUCUGAGAGGAGGAGCCCGGAGAUGGGCACUGAGACAAGGGCCCAGGCCCUAUGGGGCGCAGCAGGCGCGAAACCUCUGCAAUAGGCGAAAGCUUGACAGGGUUACUCUGAGUGAUUUCCGUUAAGGAGAUCUUUUGGCACCUCUAAAAAUGGUGCAGAAUAAGGGGUGGGCAAGUCUGGUGUCAGCCGCCGCGGUAAUACCAGCACCCCGAGUGGUCGGGACGUUUAUUGGGCCUAAAGCAUCCGUAGCCGGUUCUACAAGUCUUCCGUUAAAUCCACCUGCUUAACAGAUGGGCUGCGGAAGAUACUAUAGAGCUAGGAGGCGGGAGAGGCAAGCGGUACUCGAUGGGUAGGGGUAAAAUCCGUUGAUCCAUUGAAGACCACCAGUGGCGAAGGCGGCUUGCCAGAACGCGCUCGACGGUGAGGGAUGAAAGCUGGGGGAGCAAACCGGAUUAGAUACCCGGGUAGUCCCAGCUGUAAACGAUGCAGACUCGGUGAUGAGUUGGCUUAUUGCUAACUCAGUGCCGCAGGGAAGCCGUUAAGUUUGCCGCCUGGGGAGUACGGUCGCAAGACUGAAACUUAAAGGAAUUGGCGGGGGAGCA
rnacentral:rRNA from 1 species